rnacentral:rRNA from 1 species
UACAGAGGGUGCAAGCGUUGUUCGGAAUUAUUGGGCGUAAAGCGCGUGUAGGCGGCUUUGCAAGUCGGGUGUGAAAGCCCUCAGCUCAACUGAGGAAGUGCGCCCGAAACUGGCAGACUUGAGUGCCGGAGAGGAUAGCGGAACACCCGGUGUAGAGGUGAAAUUCGUAGAUAUCGGGUAGAACACCAGUGGCGAAGGCGGCUAUCUGGACGGACACUGACGCUGAGACG